GGAAGGUUAGUUUAGGGGAUAAAACAACGGUCUUCUAAACCGUCAUCGGUGGUUCGAAUCCACCACCUUCUA
rnacentral:tRNA from 4 species